AAAAUGAGUAGAAAGUCCCUUAAGACAUGGGGAGAGCAUCACAUUCCUCCAAGGGGAAGGAAGAGAGAGCUGCUGGGAAUAGAAAGCAGUGCGACAACAGCUGAGAGAGAAGGACAAAGCGAGGCUCCAGCCCUCAGAACUUAGGCUCCAUUCCCUCCAGACCCUCUCCCUGCAGCUGCCUUGUUACUAUUUUUUUCAAUUCAGCCUCAACUUUGCAGACUUACUAAGCUGUUUGUUUAAAAGACAUUCACACUCAUGAUCACAGUAAGAGAAAAUGGACAAUCUCUGGUAGAUGUCCAGGCUAGAGGAGGAUACAGCAACAUGUGUCAAAAACUUUUGAAAGUACAUCAUAUUUGACUGAGCAAUUCUGCCUCCAGGAUUCUGAUGAAAGGAAAUAACCAGCGACCCCACAGGUCUGGAGGUCAAUGUGGGAGUGCGUUCCAGCUCUGCACCCAGGGAAAAGCCACUGAAGAGCACAGACCACGCCAACUCCCCAACCUGUGCCUCUUGAACCGCUCCAGGUGGUGAUCCCAAAAGCACUCCCAUAUACACAUCUAGCACCUUAAAAAUCCAUCAGUGUCUGCUUCUUAAGGAUCCCAACUUGAAAAAGUUUAGGAGUGGCCCCAGAAAGCAGAGGCUAAGAUCAGCUCUUGGAGUUGUAUUACCCACCAACCCAGUUGGAAGAAGUAUACCAUCACUGGAGCUAGCUGGAUCACAGAUAAUGCUGGCGCAAGAAACUGGAUCUCAUUCUGUCAUCCAGCCUGGAAGGCAGUGGCAGCCUCGACCUCCUGGG